UACAGAGGGGGCAAGCGUUAUUCGGAAUUAUUGGGCGUAAAGGGCGCGUAGGCGGCUUGGCAAGUGGAAGGUGAAAUCCCUCGGCUCAACUGAGGAACUGCCUUCCAGACUGCUUUGCUUGAGUCCGGGAGAGGUGAGUGGAAUUCCCAGUGUAGCGGUGAAAUGCGUAGAUAUUGGGAGGAACACCAGUGGCGAAGGCGGCUCACUGGACCGGAACUGACGCUGAGGCGCGAAAGCGUGGGGAGCAAACAGGG
rnacentral:rRNA from 1 species